GAUGAACGCUGGCGGCGUGCCUAAUACAUGCAAGUCGAGCGAACAGAUAAGGAGCUUGCUCCUUUGACGUUAGCGGCGGACGGGUGAGUAACACGUGGGUAACCUACCUAUAAGACUGGAAUAACUCCGGGAAACCGGGGCUAAUGCCGGAUAACAUUUAGAACCGCAUGGUUCUAAAGUGAAAGAUGGUUUUGCUAUCACUUAUAGAUGGACCCGCGCCGUAUUAGCUAGUUGGUAAGGUAACGGCUUACCAAGGCAACGAUACGUAGCCGACCUGAGAGGGUGAACGGCCACACUGGAACUGAGACACGGUCCAGACUCCUACGGGAGGCAGCAGUAGGGAAUCUUCCGCAAUGGGCGAAAGCCUGACGGAGCAACGCCGCGUGAGUGAUGAAGGUCUUCGGAUCGUAAAACUCUGUUAUUAGGGAAGAACAAAUGUGUAAGUAACUGUGCACGUUUUGACGGUACCUAAUCAGAAAGCCACGGCUAACUACGUG
rnacentral:rRNA from 1 species